UGGGGAAUAUUGCACAAUGGGGGAAACCCUGAUGCAGCAACGCCGCGUGAGUGAAGAAGUAUUUCGGUAUGUAAAGCUCUAUCAGCAGGGAAGAAAAUGACGGUACCUGACUAAGAAGCCCCGGCUAACUACGUGCCAGCAGCCGCGGUAAUACGUAGGGGGCAAGCGUUAUCCGGAUUUACUGGGUGUAAAGGGAGCGUAGACGGCAGCGCAAGUCUGAAGUGAAAGCCCGGGGCUCAACCCCGGAAUGGCUUUGGAAACUGCGCGGCUAGAGUACCGGAGGGGUAAGCGGAAUUCCUAGUGUAGCUGUGAAAUGCGUAGAUAUUAGGAGGAACACCAGUGGCGAAGGCGGCUUACUGGACGGUAACUGACGUUGAGGCUCGAAAGCGUGGGGAGCAAACAGG
rnacentral:rRNA from 1 species